ACGAACGCUGGCGGCUGCUUAACACAUGCAAGUCGAACGGAGUGGCGAACGGGUGAGUAACGCGUGAGCAACCUGCCUAUGACAGUGGGAUAGCCUCGGGAAACCGGGAUUAAUACCGCAUAGUCAUAGAUGGGCUCGCGUCUGAUUACCUAGUUGGUGAGAUAACAGCCCACCAAGGCGACGAUCAGUAGCCGGUGUGAGAGGAUAACCGGCCACAGUGGAAUCGAGGCACGGUCCAAACACCUACGGGUAGCAGCGGUGGGGAGUAUUGCACAAUGGGAGUAUCUGUAAUGCGGCGAGGCCGGGUGAACGAAGAAGGUAUUCGUAUCGUAAAGUUCUGUCCGAUGGGGAGCAGUACCGUAGAGGAAAGCGACGGGAGAAUAGGAACCAGCAGCCGCGGUAAUAC
rnacentral:rRNA from 1 species